rnacentral:lncRNA from 1 species
CUUUUUUUAAUUAUGCUAUUUUCCAUAUAAAAUCAUUUUAAAUGCUUAUGUUCAUUGGGUGCUAAUUUUUCUCAAUCAAUUUGUUCUAAACUUAGAUUUUUAAUCCAUAAUAUUGACAGUAUCACCUAAAGGUGAUUAUGUGACUUUUGAAGGGCUAACACAAGUAUUUAAAAGUAAUUUUAUUUAUAAAAAAAGAUUUAGAUUUAUUUGAAUUUUUUUUGUUCUUUCUUCUU